rnacentral:rRNA from 1 species
GACGAGCCACACGAACGUUAUUCGGAAUUACUGGGCUUAAAGGGUGCGUAGGCGGCGCGGAAAGUUGGGUGUGAAAUCCCUCGGCUCAACCGAGGAACUGCGCCCAAAACUACCGUGCUCGAGGAAGAUAGAGGUGAGCGGAACUUACGGUGGAGCGGUGAAAUGCGUUGAUAUCGUAAGGAACACCCGUGGCGAAAGCGGCUUACUGGGUCUCUUCUGACGCUCAGGCACGAAAGCUAGGGGAGCGAACGGG